GUCCACGCUGUAAACGAUGUCAACUAGCUGUUGGCCCUUAUUAAUGAGGUUAGUAGCGCAGCAAACGCGAUAAGUUGACCGCCUGGGGAGUACGGUCGCAAGAUUAAAACUCAAAGGAAUUGACGGGGGCCCGCACAAGCGGUGGAGCAUGUGGUUUAAUUCGAUGCAACGCGAAGAACCUUACCUGCUCUUGACAUACAUUGAACCUGGUGGAGACAUCGGGGGUGCCGAAAGGAACAAUGAUACAGGUGCUGCAUGGCUGUCGU
rnacentral:rRNA from 1 species